GAUGAACGCUGGCGGCGUGCCUAAUACAUGCAAGUCGAGCGAACAGACGAGGAGCUUGCUCCUCUGACGUUAGCGGCGGACGGGUGAGUAACACGUGGAUAACCUACCUAUAAGACUGGGAUAACUUCGGGAAACCGGAGCUAAUACCGGAUAAUAUAUUGAACCGCAUGGUUCAAUAGUGAAAGACGGUUUUGCUGUCACUUAUAGAUGGAUCCGCGCCGCAUUAGCUAGUUGGUAAGGUAACGGCUUACCAAGGCAACGAUGCGUAGCCGACCUGAGAGGGUGAUCGGCCACACUGGAACUGAGACACGGUCCAGACUCCGACGGGAGGCAGCAGUAGGGAAUCUUCCGCAAUGGGCGAAAGCCUGACGGAGCAACGCCGCGUGAGUGAUGAAGGUCUUCGGAUCGUAAAACUCUGUUAUUAGGGAAGAACAAAUGUGUAAGUAACUAUGCACGUCUUGACGGUACCUAAUCAGAAAGCCACGGCUAACUACGU
rnacentral:rRNA from 1 species